UAAGGUAUGAUCUAGUCAGAGAAUAAAUAAAUGGGUUAUCUAAGGUAUGAUCUAGUCAGAGAAUAAAUAAAUGGGUUAUCUAAGGUAUGAUCUAGUCAGAGAAUAAAUAAAUGGGUUAUCUAAGGUAUGAUCUAGUCAGAGAAUAAAUAAAUGGGUUAUCUAAGGUAUGAUCUAGUCAGAGAAUAAAUAAAUGGGUUAUCUAAGGUAUGAUCUAGUCAGAGAAUAAAUAAAU